GACGAGCCUCACGAACGUUAUUCGGAAUUACUGGGCUUAAAGGGUGCGUAGGCGGCGUGGAAAGUUGGGUGUGAAAUCCCUCGGCUUAACCGAGGAACUGCGCCCAAAACUACCAUGCUCGAGGAAGAUAGAGGUAAGCGGAACUUACGGUGGAGCGGUGAAAUGCGUUGAUAUCGUAAGGAACACCCGUGGCGAAAGCGGCUUACUGGGUCUUUUCUGACGCUGAUGCACGAAAGCUAGGGGAGCAAACGGG
rnacentral:rRNA from 1 species